rnacentral:rRNA from 1 species
GCGAACGGGUGAGUAACACGUGAGUAACCUGCCCCCUUCUUCGGGAUAACGUUUGGAAACAGAUGCUAAUACCGGGUAUUUACCUCAUGUCGCAUGGUGUGGGGUGGAAAGGUUUUUUCUGGUGGGGGAUGGGCUCGCGGCCUAUCAGCUUGUUGGUGGGGUGAUGGCCUACCAAGGCUUUGACGGGUAACCGGCCUGAGAGGGUGACCGGUCACAUUGGGACUGAGAUACGGCCCAGACUCCUACGGGAGGCAGCAGUGGGGAAUUUUGCACAAUGGGCGAAAGCCUGAUGCAGCGACGCCGCGUGAGGGAUGACGGCCUUCGGGUUGUAAACCUCUUUCGCUCAUGGUCAAGGCUAGUUUUUGUUCUAGUUGAGGGUAGUGGGUAAAGAAGCGCCGGCUAACUACGUGCCAGCAGCCGCGGUAAUACGUAGGGCGCGAGCGUUGUCCGGAAUUAUUGGGCGUAAAGGGCUUGUAGGCGGCUUGUCGCGUCUGCCGUGAAAUCCUGGGGCUUAACCU